rnacentral:misc_RNA from 1 species
AAGUCGUAACAAGGUAACCGUAGGUGAACCUGCGGUUGGAUCAUUAUCGAAUUUUGUUGAAUUUGGUCGAGUCUUUUUUCUAAGAGAUUCCCAUUUUCAAUAAUAAACCACUUGUGCACUAUAUUGUUUUUUGGGUCUUUUUCGGGAAACCGAGUUUGACCCAACAUUUUUCUAAAAACAUUUAUAAUUUGCCUGAAAUCUAUGUACAAAAUGUAUAAACAACUUUUGACAACGGAUCUCUUGGCUCUC